AACCGCGUGGCGUCUCUCUGCGCGAAAUCGUGUACCACGCAGCCUGCACCGCCUGAAACUCGGCUGUACGCAGACUGCACGCAGACUGCACGCAGACUGCACGCAAGCAAGCCGCGCGGUUCAUUUCUCAAGCUAAACGCAUUUAUCGGUGAUGCACCGAGGGAGAAAAUCAGAGCCCUCCGCCUCUCGCCGCCGACGUCGUACAGCCAUUGUCCUCGCGUACGCGUCGCCGUUGUGUUAGAGAAUGCCGUGGCGAGGUGCCGAGCAAGGGGCUGCGUCGGAGGGUUCGGAGUGGAAGGACAGGGAAUAGAGGGUUGCACGCCAUUCCUUCGACAUUACGUCAUACGUCGAUUCUCUGGGGAUUCCCACGGCGUCAACCCACGCCGAGAAACUUCGUCGACCGCAUUCAGCAGGAUACCGAGUUUUCUAUUUGCUUUCAUCUGGCAAGAGUUCUCUAUUGGUUACCUAUUAGAAGAUGGAAGAGCUCGCGGUGUUUGUGUACGCGAAGAAAGUAGGUUUGUCGGUAGCGUGUAAUAUGUACGAAGAAAAUGAAAGUUACGAGAUCGAUUCGCGUUGAACGGAAAAAGGGAAUCGAAAAAAGGGAAACGAAUUCCACGCGUUCGACGCUGGCAAUCGUCCGAUAAGAGCCAUCCUCCUGUAAUCGUUUUUCCACGUUCCAACCGAAUCGUCGCUGGGUGAAGAAGUUUAAACAAAAAACAAAGGAGAGCGGGAGGAGAAAGGGAAACUGUGAAAAAGGGAACAAAUAAUGGAAAUGGUGUCUCGCUUAGGGGUAAUCGUCGUCGCGUGCUCGCAGAGUAAAAAUGGGGCUGCCGCGGCUGAUUAAUCAUCGGCAAUCUCGCGAGAGCGCGUCGAAAGGACGCGGCCAUUAAAGGCAAACGACGAGAACUUCGUCACCGGUCGGCGUUCGACGAUCGUGUUCCGGGGUUGAACGAGUUAUUUUUUUUUUUUCUCUCCCUUCGCGCGACGAUACGUGGCAGAAGGAGAAACAGAGACGAACGAGUAAUUUAAUUGAAAUUCCCCAACCGUGCCCUCACCAGCGGUGGCGCAGAAAUUGUGGAAAAAUCGAGUCAUACGAUCGCCGGGGCUGCGUGAAAAUGGAAUUACGGCGGAGAAACGAGGUUUGUCCGAUGAUGCAGGUGAACGCCGGUUUCACGAGGGAUCGAGCAACCGAACGUACAAAGGGAUGAAAAAACAUAGACUCGUCAGUCCGCGGAAAGAUCGAGGGUUUAUAGGGACAAAAUUUUUUUACCUUUAAAUUUCCACGUAAAUUAGCCUUGCAAAAUUACUCUCAAUUACUCUACGCGAUGCUCGCGAGUGCGAGAACUCGUUCGAUACCAACCAUCGUGCGUAUGCAGAGCGUUCUGGCUGCCUGGCCUCGAGCAGCAAGCGCAACUCGACUGAAAGAUAUCCUAUCUACAGCGUACGUACGAGUUUGCCAUACGUGUGUAUGUACAUAUGUGUAAACGCGUAUGUACGGUGUACAAAUUGGUCGGCGCACAAAUUGAUCGAUAAUCUGACCGGUAAUCGAGGAGUUUUCCGAAACGUUGCGUUGAUGGCUCGUACAGCCGGAAAUAUUAUAGUCGGGCGAAAUCAGCCUCGAAAUACCGACGGGACGGUGAUCAAGGGUCGACCACUUAUAGCGCAAUUUGUUUUAAUUAAAAAUCGUCCGUGCCUGCGGUACAAUGAAAUUCGCAUUAUACGCGACGAUGCACGGCGAUAUAGGAAUUUCGUUAGCGAAAACGCAACGUGAGAUCGAUAGCGAUACUGUACCGAUAUCGCUGUAUGGUAUACCGUCUCACGAGUCGAUGAGUCGCGAUAUUAAAUGUACUGGCUCGGUGUUAAUUAUGAAUCCACGGGAGUACGCGAAUCGAACGAUCGUAUCGCUGCGGAGGCCUCAUUUCGAUAUGCACAUUUUAAUUAGCGCUUAACCGAAGAAAGGGCGAUAUCUCGGUGGCGAGACAAACAGAAACACCGUAAUUCGAUUCGGAAGGUGCAAAUAUUUGAUAAGGUUGUAACGUUGUGUUACCAGAGGUUCGCCAGAGGCGUGGUAGCUUGUAGGCGGAAUCGGUGCAAUGAAGUGCAUAUAGACACUUCAUCACCGCGCAUCCGGAAUCGCCGGAGGUCAGUUACGCGAAAAUAUUCCCCGUUGUAACAUCGUGUUUCGGAAAACGGGAAGGCUGCCUUCGGUCCGGAAACACGCAAACUCCGCCUAUAGCCUGCGUGUUUCGGCCAUCUGAACCGUCUAUUUCGGGUUUACAGCGGCGGAAACCCGAAUCGAAACGGAGGUCAGUUACGAGAAAAUAUUGACUGAUCGCGCGUAAUGGCACACCCGAGCGCCAACAAUAGAAUCGUGCCUCUGCCUACGUGUACGUAGCUAUCGCGAUGCGAAGCACGCGUACCUGUACUCGUGUGUAUCCAUUCUCGUACCUAUGUCUAUGUACCUGUACAUACACGUAUAUACGCAAAUUCACGCAUCCAUACAUUGAAACAUGCACGCGUUAUCGCGUACGAAUCACGAGUAGAGUCGGCUAAGCGUAGAGACGCGCGGCCUGAUGUUAAAGCACGGACAUUUCCUGGUCCUCAUCAAUUGUCAUUAAACGACAUGAUUAUUGCGCGUGUUGACGAUUAUUGCGGCGAUAGGCCGUUACCGGAAUAUCCAGCGAAGCCCGCGGUCUCAUAAUGAUCGAUGCUCGAUACGUACUCAUCGAGUAUUUCGUUAAUGGCCAGGACAUUGUGUCGAGCGAUGUGCACGGCCUCGCGAAAAUGCCAAAAGCCCUCUCCCAUUGACCGUUAACGAGCCGUUUCGAGGAGAGCGCGUUUUAUCCAAAGAGUCCCUUUGGUUCCGUUUUCCGCAUGAUGUCACGGCGGUUGUUAUCAGGGCGCGACCAUCGAUCAAUGACCCUGUCGAUAAAUCGCCAAUGCGA